AGUGAACGCUGGCGGUAGGCCUAACACAUGCAAGUCGAACGGCAGCACAGUAAGAGCUUGCUCUUACGGGUGGCGAGUGGCGGACGGGUGAGGAAUACAUCGGAAUCUACUUUUUCGUGGGGGAUAACGUAGGGAAACUUACGCUAAUACCGCAUACGACCUACGGGUGAAAGCAGGGGAGCUUCGGACCUUGCGCGAUUGAAUGAGCCGAUGUCGGAUUAGCUAGUUGGCGGGGUAAAGGCCCACCAAGGCGACGAUACGUAGCUGGUCUGAGAGGAUGAUCAGCCACACUGGAACUGAGACACGGUCCAGACUCCUACGGGAGGCAGCAGUGGGGAAUAUUGGACAAUGGGCGCAAGCCUGAUCCAGCCAUACCGCGUGAGUGAAGAAGGCCUUCGGGUUGUAAAGCCCUUUUGUUGGGAAAGAACAGCAGCAGGUUAAUACCCCGCUGUUCUGACGGUACCCAAAGAAUAAGCACCGGCUAACUUCGUG
rnacentral:rRNA from 1 species